rnacentral:rRNA from 1 species
ACGCUGGCGGCGUGCCUAAUACAUGCAAGUCGAACGGCCUUUUCUAUGGAAGCUUGCUUCCACUGAGAAGAUAGUGGCGGACGGGUGAGUAACACGUGGGUAACCUGCCCAUAAGAGGGGGAUAACAUCCGGAAACGGGUGCUAAUACCGCAUAGUUUUCUUGAUCGCAUGAUCGAGAAAGGAAAGACGGCCUUUGUGCUGUCGCUUAUGGAUGGACCCGCGGCGUAUUAGUUAGUUGGUGAGGUAAUGGCUCACCAAGACGAUGAUACGUAGCCGACCUGAGAGGGUGAUCGGCCACAUUGGGACUGAGACACGGCCCAAACUCCUACGGGAGGCAGCAGUAGGGAAUCUUCCGCAAUGGACGAAAGUCUGACGGAGCAACGCCGCGUGAGUGAAAGAAGGUUUUCGGAUCGUAAAACUCUGUUGUCAGAGAAGAACAAGUUGGAGAGUAACUGCUCCAGCCUUGACGGUAUCUGACCAGAAAGCCACGGCUAACUACGUGCCAGCCGCCGC